UACAGAGGUCCCAAGCGUUGUUCGGAUUCAUUGGGCGUAAAGGGUGCGUAGGCGGCGCGGGAAGUCGGGUGUGAAAUCUCGGAGCUUAACUCCGAAACUGCAUUCGAUACUGCCGUGCUUGAGGACUGGAGAGGAGACUGGAAUUUACGGUGUAGCGGUGAAAUGCGUAGAUAUCGUAAGGAACACCUGCGGCGAAGGCGGGUUGCUGGGCCGACACUGACGCUGAUGCGCGAAAGCCAGGGGAGCGAACGGG
rnacentral:rRNA from 1 species